rnacentral:rRNA from 1 species
GAUGAACGCUGGCGGCGUGCCUAAUACAUGCAAGUCGAGCGAACGGACGAGAAGCUUGCUUCUCUGAUGUUAGCGGCGGACGGGUGAGUAACACGUGGAUAACCUACCUAUAAGACUGGGAUAACUUCGGGAAACCGGAGCUAAUACCGGAUAAUAUUUUGAACCGCAUGGUUCAAAAGUGAAAGACGGUCUUGCUGUCACUUAUAGAUGGAUCCGCGCUGCAUUAGCUAGUUGGUAAGGUAACGGCUUACCAAGGCAACGAUGCAUAGCCGACCUGAGAGGGUGAUCGGCCACACUGGAACUGAGACACGGUCCAGACGCCUACGGGAGGCAGCAGUAGGGAUUCUUACGCAAUGGGCGAAAGCCUGACGGAGCAACGCCGCGUGAGUGAUGAAGGUCUUCGGAUCGUAAAACUCUGUUAUUAGGGAAGAACAUAUGUGUAAGUAACUGUGCACAUCUUGACGGUACCUAAUCAGAAAGCCACGGCUAACUACGUG